rnacentral:rRNA from 1 species
AGAGUUUGAUCCUGGCUCAGAGCGAACGCUGGCGGCAGGCCUAACACAUGCAAGUCGAGCGCCCCGCAAGGGGAGCGGCGGACGGGUGAGUAACACGUGGGAACGUGCCCUUCGGUUCGGGAUAACCUCGGGAAACUGAGGCUAACACCGGAUACGCCCUAACGGGGAAAGGUUACGCCGAAGGAGCGGCCCGCGUCGGAUUAGGUAGUUGGUGAGGUAAAGGCUCACCAAGCCUACGAUCCGUAGCUGGUCUGAGAGGAUGAUCAGCCACACUGGGACUGAGACACGGCCCAGACUCCUACGGGAGGCAGCAGUGGGGAAUCUUGCGCAAUGGGCGAAAGCCUGACGCAGCCAUGCCGCGUGAAUGACGAAGGUCUUAGGAUUGUAAAAUUCUUUCAGCGGGGACGAUAAUGACGGUACCCGCAGAAGAAGCCCCGGCUAACUUCGUGCCAGCCGCCGCGGUAAUUC